UACGAAGGGGGCUAGCGUUGCUCGGAAUGACUGGGCGUAAAGGGCGCGUAGGCGGUUUGUACAGUCAAGUGUGAAAUUCCCGGGCUCAACCUGGGGGCUGCACUUGAUACGUAUGGACUGGAGUGGGGAAGAGGGUCGUGGAAUUCCCAGUGUAGAGGUGAAAUUCGUAGAUAUUGGGAAGAACACCGGUGGCGAAGGCGGCGACCUGGUCCUUGACUGACGCUGAGGCGCGAAAGCGUGGGGAGCAAACAGG
rnacentral:rRNA from 1 species